AUGAUGGGUUGUUUCCCAAUGUGCUAAGAUGCAGCCGCCUCUGGGGUGGAUCCAUGGUGGCCAUUAUUUGCUAGUGACAGCCCGUGGACCUUUCUUGCCCUCCAGGCCUUCCAUUCUCCUGUUAAAGAAGCACUCCCCAGGCUCCCUCUGCCUGUGUGACUGGCCAGCAGGAGGUGGUGUUAACUUUCUAGCCACUUCUCACACUCUGUGAGGCUGCGGAAUAACGUCCAUGUUUCGCUCCAGUUCAUCCCGUCCUCUCGUUGGACAGGGGAGAGAAAUGGCUGCAGAGGAGCCACUACAGGGGCUGGUGACCUUCGAGGAGGUUGCUGUGUAUUUCACCAGUGAAGAGUGGGCUCUGCUAGACCCCACUCAGCCCUCUACAGGGAUGUCAUGCAGGAGAACUAUGAGAAUGUGACCUCGCUGGGGUUUCCAGUUUCCAAACCUGAUGUGAUCUCCCAGCUGGAACAAGGGGAAGAGCCAUGGGUCUCAGACCUCCAGGGUUCAGA